GAUGAACGCUAGCGGCAGGCCUAAUACAUGCAAGUCGAGGGGCAGCAGGAAUAGCAAUAUUUGCUGGCGACCGGCGCACGGGUGCGUAACACGUAUACAAUCUGCCUUCUACAGGGGGAUAGCCUUUCGAAAGAGAGAUUAAUACCCCAUAAUAAAUUGAAUAGCAUUAUUUGAUUUUGAAAGAUCCGUCGGUAGAAGAUGAGUAUGCGGGUGAUUAGCUAGUUGGUGAGGUAACGGCUCACCAAGGCAACGAUCACUAGGGGAUCUGAGAGGACUACCCCCCACACUGGUACUGAGACACGGACCAGACUCCUACGGGAGGCAGCAGUAAGGAAUAUUGGACAAUGGAGGCAACUCUGAUCCAGCCAUGCCGCGUGCAGGAUGAAUGCCCUAUGGGUAGUAAACUGCUUUUGUACGAGAGAAAACCUAUUUACGUGUAGAUAGUUGAUAGUAUCGUAAGAAUAAGGAUCGGCUAACUUCGUGCCAGCCGCCGCUGUAACAC
rnacentral:rRNA from 1 species